UACGUAGGGUGCAAGCGUUGUCCGGAAUUAUUGGGCGUAAAGCGCUCGUAGGCGGUCUGUCGCGUCGGCUGUGAAAUCCCGAGGCUCAACCUCGGGUCUGCAGUCGAUACGGGCAAACUAGAGUAUUGCAGGGGAGACUGGAAUUCCUGGUGUAGCGGUGAAAUGCGCAGAUAUCAGGAGGAACACCGGUGGCGAAGGCGGGUCUCUGGGCAAUAACUGACGCUGAGGAGCGAAAGCGUGGGGAGCGAACAGG
rnacentral:rRNA from 1 species